rnacentral:rRNA from 1 species
GAUGAACGCUGGCGGCGUGCCUAAUACAUGCAAGUCGAGCGAAUGGAUUAAGAGCUUGCUCUUAUGAAGUUAGCGGCGGACGGGUGAGUAACACGUGGGUAACCUGCCCAUAAGACUGGGAUAACUCCGGGAAACCGGGGCUAAUACCGGAUAACAUUUUGAACCGCAUGGUUCGAAAUUGAAAGGCGGCUUCGGCUGUCACUUAUGGAUGGACCCGCGUCGCAUUAGCUAGUUGGUGAGGUAACGGCUCACCAAGGCAACGAUGCGUAGCCGACCUGAGAGGGUGAUCGGCCACACUGGGACUGAGACACGGCCCAGACUCCUACGGGAGGCAGCAGUAGGGAAUCUUCCGCAAUGGACGAAAGUCUGACGGAGCAACGCCACGUGAGUGAUGAAGGCUUUCGGGUCGUAAAACUCUGUUGUUAGGGAAGAACAAGUGCUAGUUGAAUAAGCUGGCACCUUGACGGUACCUAACCAGAAAGCCACGGCUAACUACGUGCCAGCCGCCGCUGUAA